AGGGUUUGAUUAUGGCUCAGGAUGAACGCUGGCGGCGUGCUUAACACAUGCAAGUCGAACGAACCUUCGGGUUAGUGGCGGACGGGUGAGUAACGCGUGAGAGUCUGCCCUCAGGAGGGGGAUAACGGUUGGAAACGACCGCUAAUACCCCAUAUGCCUACUGGUGAAAUGAAUUUCGCCUGAGGAUGAGCUCGCGCCUGAUUAGCUAGUUGGUGAGGUAAUGGCUCACCAAGGCUUCGAUCAGUAGCUGGUCUGAGAGGAUGAUCAGCCACACUGGGACUGAGACACGGCCCAGACUCCUACGGGAGGCAGCAGUGGGGAAUUUUCCGCAAUGGGCGAAAGCCUGACGGAGCAACGCCGCGUGAGGGACGAAGGCCUCUGGGCUGUAAACCUCUUUUCUCAAGGAAGAAGAUAUGACGGUACUUGAGGAAUAAGCCACGGCUAAUUCCGUGCCAGCCGCCGCGGUAAUAC
rnacentral:rRNA from 1 species